rnacentral:lncRNA from 1 species
UUCACCACACUUAAGAAUUAAAAAAAUUACUUUCUCAUCAAUAUUUAUUUGAUGUUACACAAGGCAAAAAAUACCAUUCACUAUGACAAAACAGUUUUGGCCACAGGGUGAAUAUUUUUAUUCCCUUUACCUAUCUAUAUUUUCUUGAUAAUAUCUUUCAAGUUAGUUUGUCAUUAUAACUAUCAAAAUUUGAAAGAAAGAAUCACAUUUUGUUUUGAUCUAAUCUCUGAACACAGGUUAUGGAUAGGUAAUGAGAACAUGAACAUGAGGAACCACUAAUUCAGGAAGUUUGGUUUUGUGACCUUGGUACAGAGAUUGAGAAACUGUGAUGCUAAUUCAAACCUUCCUAGAAUCCUUUCUGCAAGAGCACAGUACUAUUGAAACUCAUUCAAGGGCCUUAGAGGAAAAAGGUAGGAAAUUAGUCUGUUGGAAUAUAUGCAUCUAAAUGACAUCUGGGUCACUGUUUUUCAUCACCUCAUCUUAUUUCUACCAGUGUAAAAGAAUUCACAUUGCUGAAUUACUAAUGAGAAAUAAUCUAUAAAGACUAGCGCCUGUGUGUAUGUUAUGCAACAUAACAGAGAGAGGGCUAAGACAUAGGUAGUUUCCUACCUUUAAGACAGGCAUAAUACCUGAACAAUUCGGUUUGGGUGUCUUCUACUACAUGCAGACCUUCUGAAAGCAAGUUCAUGAGCUAUUUAUGAUUGUAUAGCAGUUAUUUAUGCAGUGGAAAGGCAAGACUAAAAUGAUAUAAGGCUAAGCAUGAAUUUCUUCAAAACCUAAAGGCAUUUGAGGAGUAACUGUUGGUGACUGAUGGCAGAGAGGUCAGCAGGGAAGUGUUGGCUUCUGUCACCCACUGAAAAUUGCUUAUCUUGAAAACCUGAGUUAAACCUCCUACUCUGGUUUUUUUUUCCCUUCAUGAUUUUAUACCGUUCCUUCACUCUGCUUUUUCCUCAGUUUCUGGCUUACUAAUACUAGCUCAAUAAGGACCUCUGUCUUUUUAUUUCCUUCUGUCACAUGUCUUUAGCCUAUGAAUUCACUUUCGGCUCAAAAAAUAUUUUCUUUUUCUGAAACACCAGUUCAAAGUUACCAAACUGAGCUUCCCCAAAGUGUGUCUUGUUCCUGAAUGUGAGCUGUCAGCUGCAGAAGGAGCAGCUAGGCUUCGGUGAGUACCCACAUUUGUUCUGUGUUCAUCUGGUGCUGAUGUGAGAUAGCAGCUUCAGGGAACUUACACUGCUGAAAAUUGUUAACACAAAUACUGCAUAUUUACCCAUGCACUCUGUAAUAGAGAUAACAUUUUUUGGAGGUUACUGGGUGGGUGCCUUUUUAUAUCUACCAUGCUUCACCUCUAGGGAAAACUAAAAGUUCGCUCACUGCAGUAAACUAUAAUAUCAUCGAGGUCCACCUGCAGAAAUGAAAAUGUUGUAUGAAUCCCAAGAAAACUGUUA